rnacentral:rRNA from 1 species
AUUGAACGCUGGCGGCAUGCCUUACACAUGCAAGUCGAACGGCAGCACGGGAGCAAUCCUGGUGGCGAGUGGCGAACGGGUGAGUAAUAUAUCGGAACGUGCCCAGUCGUGGGGGAUAACGCAGCGAAAGCUGUGCUAAUACCGCAUACGAUCUAUGGAUGAAAGCGGGGGAUCGCAAGCUCUCGCGCGAUUGGAGCGGCCGAUAUCAGAUUAGCUAGUUGGUGGGGUAAAGGCCCACCAAGGCGACGAUCUGUAGCUGGUCUGAGAGGACGACCAGCCACACUGGAACUGAGACACGGUCCAGACUCCUACGGGAGGCAGCAGUGGGGAAUUUUGGACAAUGGGCGCAAGCCUGAUCCAGCAAUGCCGCGUGCAGGAUGAAGGCCUUCGGGUUGUAAACUGCUUUUGUACGGAGCGAAACGGUCUGCCCUAAUACGGUGGGCUAAUGACGGUACCGUAAGAAUAAGCACCGGCUAACUACGUGCCAGCCGCCGCCGUAA